rnacentral:rRNA from 1 species
GGAGUUAGCCGGUGCUUCUUCUGUGGGUGAUGUCGUCCCUGCCGGCUAUUAACCCGCAGGCCUUCUUCCCCACUGAAAGUGCUUUACAACCCGAAAGCCUUCUUCACACACGCGGCAUGGCUGGAUCAGGGUUGCCCCCAUUGUCCAAUAUUCCCCACUGCUGCCUCCCGUAGGAGUCUGGGCCGUGUCUCAGUCCCAGUGUGGCUGAUCAUACUCUCAGACCAGCUACGGAUCGUCGCCUUGGUGAGCCGUUACCUCACCAACCAGCUAAUCCGACAUAGGCUCAUCCGAUAGCGCGAGGCCCGAAGGUCCCCCGCUUUCUCCCGUAGGACGUAUGCGGUAUUAGCCUGGGUUUCCCCAGGUUAUCCCCCACUACCGGGCAGAUUCCUAUGCAUUACUCACCCGUCCGCCGCUCGACGCCUCCUAGCAAGCUAGGAUCGUUUCCGCUCGACUUGCAUGUGUUAGGCCUGCCGCCAGCGUUCAAUCUGAGCCAGAAUCAAACUCUGA